CGACGACGUUCAGUGUGACGCGGCGCGAUUGAGAAUCCAAUUCCCUGUACUUUCGAUCAGGACACGAUGAGGCGUCGCCGUGCCGAUAAAUCACCCCGCCAAUAGCACAGAAACGUCGAAAUAAAAUACGAGAAGCCCGGCAAAACUGAUGCACAUUGUUCGACUUCGGAGCGCCGGAUCGAUUGACAAUGCGCGCGUGAGCGUUGUAACGCGCGAAAUUCUUGUUCCAGUAUCGUUCACGCGAGCAAAAGAACUAUUUGUGGGGGUGCUUUUAGCUGCAAGUGCAUUGUUUCAACUGCCAAUAUUCCUAUUGAACGAAAACCGAUACACCAGUAAUAAUUUUGAAAGGGCUAAGCGGUGAUGAAUAAGUUUUAGAAUUCUUUUAAACUAAAUGUUAAUUAUAUUUUCCCGAUUAUUAAUGCUAGAAACACAUUUUUUCGAAUGUUUCUGCAGAGA
rnacentral:misc_RNA from 1 species